rnacentral:rRNA from 1 species
UACAGAGGUCCCAAGCGUUGUUCGGAUUCAUUGGGCGUAAAGGGUGCGUAGGCGGCGCGGUAAGUCGGGUGUGAAAUCUUGGAGCUUAACUCCGAAACUGCAUUCGAUACUGCCGUGCUUGAGGACUGGAGAGGAGACUGGAAUUUACGGUGUAGCGGUGAAGUGCGUAGAUAUCGUAAGGAAGACCAGUGGCGAAGGCGGGUCUCUGGACAGUUCCUGACGCUGAGGCACGAAGGCCAGGGGAGCAAACGGG